UGGACAGAUUAUUGUAUUCGACUGUAUUCACGGGAUUACACUGUUUUUAAACGGAAAGUGAAUCAAUUAACGUAAUAGACUCCU
rnacentral:pre_miRNA from 1 species